rnacentral:misc_RNA from 1 species
AGCUAAGGACAAUAAUACGCAGCAGAACUAUACAAUUUUGAAAAGAUCAAACAUGAUUAAAAUAUAUUGUCAGGCUCACAAUACCAUAGCAAUCAUUAUUAAUGCAUUUACCACUAAAGUCACAUAAUGGAAUUUAUGAAUUAGGGAAUAUAAUGUGAAUGCCACUUCUAAGUUCUAAUCAUCCAAGUUAUCAAUAUUUAAAAACAAAAAUAAAAUAAAAUAAAAGGUAAAAAUAGUCUUUUUCACUUUUCCCCUUCACUUUCCUUUUUUACCCUUGAUUGAAUCCCAUAAUAACUAACAUACCACUUCACAAAUUUCCUUAACCCACUUGACAAAUCAGUUGUUGGCUUAUACCCAAAAUCCCUUAACGCCAGGCUCACGUUGGCAUGUGUAUACGGAACGUCGCCGUUUCGUGGCAUUUUAACAACAUUCUUUUUAGCCUUAAGAUUCAAUAAAUUUUCGAGAAUUGCCACCAACUUCUUCACCGACACUGGCGAAGUAUUCCCCAAAUUGUAAACCCUCAAUUGAGCCGGACCUCUCUUCUUUCCGCCGCUCCCGGUGCUCUUCUCCGCCGUAUCCAACGCGCCGACGCAUCCUUUUACUAUAUCAUCAAUGUACGUGAAGUCACGCGCCACCUCUUUAUCAUCCUGAGUGACGUACACGUUAAUCGAUUUCCCCUGAAUCAUAUCCUUUGUGAAGAAGAAAUACGCCAUGUCUGGUCUUCCCCAAGGUCCGUAAACAGUGAAAAACCUCAAACCUGUUAAUGAAAGCCCGUAGAUAUGGUUAUAUGUAUGUGCAAUUGCUUCCCCUGCUUUCUUCGUUGCAGCGUAUAAACUAGCUGGUUGAUCUGUUCUGUGAUCUUCGGAGAAAGGAACUUUGGUGUUCAAUCCGUAAACAGAGCUCGAUGAAGCCCAGACUAUCGCCGGUUGUGGAUCUGCAGCUUUAGCAAUUUCUAACAGAUUUACAAACCCAGCUACGUUUGAGUUUACAUAAGAGAGAGGAUUCUGCAUCGCGUAACGAACACCUGCUUGUGCAGCUAGAUGAAGGAUAUGAGUAAAAGGAACAAUGUCGAAAAGCUUUUUCAGAAGCUCUGUAUCGUUAAUAUCACCUUCUACAAUGAAAAUCUGAUGCUUCAAUAACUGAUCUUGACGAGCACGUUUCAACGAAGGAUCGUAGUAUGAAUUGAAAUUAUCUAAACCUAAAACACCAUCACCACGCUUCUUCAAUGCUAAGGAGCAAUGAGAACCAACGAAGCCAGCUGCUCCCGUCACGAGGACGGAUAGCCCGUUAGGGCGGUGGGGUGUCGAGGAGUGACGAACUUGUUUCUCCCACGACGCCCCACCGCCGUAAAUCGCGGAGGAUAGAAGGUUAUGGGUAGUGGUGUGAAUAUUAUUGUUGAAUGAUUUUUCGGAAGUUAACGGAGGGUAAUUUAUAGUGAAGAAGAAAAUAAGUAAAAGAGCCACUAAUAAAGUGACACGAAAUAAAAGCUUAGACGAUGCAGCGAUGAGUUUUGUACUAUUAACUCUUCGAAUAUAGCUAUUGUAGCGCUCUAGUUUUGUGGUUUUGCUUGUGUCAGGUGGCGAUGCCAUUAUAGUUUUCAUAACUUUAUAUAUGUAUAUGAUAUAUCAAUUUGAUUUAUUUAUCGCUUUGAUAUUGCAGAGAGUAUACGAAAGAAAGGCUAAUGGUGUUAUUGGAAAAUGGGGAGUGCUUUGGAUUGAGCAAGCCCCUGAGGAAAGAAGAGAUGAUGUUUAUAAAGGAAGAAGGAUUGGUGUGUUUGUGUGAAAAAAGGAAAAAAAA